rnacentral:rRNA from 1 species
GUCCACGCCGUAAACGAUGAAUGCCAGCCGUUAGUGGGUUUACUCACUAGUGGCGCAGCUAACGCUUUAAGCAUUCCGCCUGGGGAGUACGGUCGCAAGAUUAAAACUCAAAGGAAUUGACGGGGGCCCGCACAAGCGGUGGAGCAUGUGGUUUAAUUCGACGCAACGCGCAGAACCUUACCAGCCCUUGACAUCCCGGUCGCGGACUCCAGAGACGGAGUUCUUCAGUUCGGCUGGACCGGAGACAGGUGCUGCAUGGCUGUCGU